GUGCUGGGAUUACAGGCGUGAGCCCCCGCGUCCGGCCUCAUCUCUACUAAAAAUACAAAAUUAGCCAGGCAUAGUGGCGCAUGCCUGUAGUCCUAGCUACUCGGGAGGCUGAGGCAGGAGAAUCGCUUAAACCUGAGAGGCGGAUGUUGAGGUGAGCCGAGAUCCUGCCAUUGCACUCCAGCCUGGGAAACAAGAGUGAAACUCCAUCUCAAAAAAAAAAAAAGAAUACUAAGAAAGCCUAUGGCUGGGCCUGGAUGGUUGUGAACACUCUCCUGAGUUGAGUGGCUGUGCAGCCCCAGAUAUGCCCUCAAAGCCUUGCCGUCAAGGCUGACCAGGGACCUCCAUGGGUUCUAGUCCACUCCACUCCUACUUGCUCUACUGCUCCGUUCCAUUUGAGAGCUAGGGUAAUCCGCUAGGCAUUAUGUCAUUAUAGAAGAUGGCCUUUAGAGGUUUUCCUGAAGUAAGAAAAUAAUAGCUAGAUUAGCAUAUCUUUAAAUGAAUUCAAGGGCUUCUCCUGGUGCAGUGGCCCUUAAGGACAAGAUGGUCUUCAAGCACAGUGCAGCAGUGAAAGUUUAGAGGAUCCGCUAGCCUAUACACACGUAAUUAUUAGUAUACUCUAUUUAACAAAGCAUGGAAAAGUAUAGCGCAUUUCAGAAGCGUUCCACUGGGAACUGAUAAAAACAAAGCUUUGGAAAUUAUGGGAUUAAACUUUGUCUGAAAAAUUAUUUUUCAGAAUGCAAUAUUCCCUAAUUGAGGUGUUUAUCUAUUUAACUAUUGACUAUUCAGAUGAUUUACAUUAAACUCAUGAGACCAAACUUGCUUAUAACUUGACCGAUACAAAUUACUAUAUGAUUACAUAGUAAAUAUUACAAAAUACAGAGGAAACUUAGAAAUUAUAAAGAAUGAAAAAUAUUUAAUUUGUCUUAGCAACUGCAUCUGGCCUAGGAAAGGAAAUGAUUGCAUUUUGUCUCUCUCAGCAGGCCCCCAUCUAUCCCUAGAUUUCAAGCUAGUUGGUUGCCUUAAGAUCUCAGCUUGGCAAGGCGUGGUGGCUCACACCUGUAAUCCCAGUACUUUGGGAGGCCAAGUCAGGCGAAUCACGUGAGACCAGGAGUCGGAGACCAGCCUGGCAACAUAACAAAACCCCAUCUCUACUAAAAAUACAAAACUUAGCCGGGUGUGGUGGUGCACACCUGUGGUCCCAGCUACUCAGGAGGCUGAGGCAGGAGAAUCGCUUGAACUCAGGAGGCAGAGGCUUUGUGAGCUGAGGUCAUGCCACUGCACUCCCACCUGGGCAACAGAGCGAGACUUUAUCUCAAAACAACAACAGCAUGGUUGGAUGUGGUGGCUCAUGCUUAUAAUCCCAGAACUUUGGGAGGCCGAGGUGGGCAGAUCGCUUGAGGUCAGGAGUUCAAGACAAGCCUGGUCAACAUGGCGAAACCCUGUCUCCACUAAACAUACAAGAAUUAGUGUGAUGGCGAUCGCCUGUAAUCCCAGCUACUCAGGAGGCUGAGGCAUGAGAAUUGCUUGAACCGGGGAAGCGGAGGUUGCAGUGAGCUGAGAUCACACCAUUGCACUCCAGCCUGGGAGACAGAGCAAGACUCCAUCUCAAAAAAAAAAAAAAA
ensembl:lncRNA